AUGAGGCAACAUUUUGCUUUGUGUGUUAUUUGUUCAAAGGGAAAUCUAAUCGGGGGCCUAGGGGUGAUGCCUUUGUUAAUGGUGGUUGGAAAUAUUGGUAUAAGCCCGAUGCAUUGGUCAAACAUGUUGGUGGUAUUAAUAGCAUUCACAACAAAGCUCAAGAGAAGUACAAUACGUGGGCAAGGGUAUGAUGGGGCUAGUAACAAGAAAGGGGAGGUUAGGGUUGAAAACAUUGAUCAUGAAAGAGUCACCCUCUGCCUAUUACAUCCAUUGUUUUGCACAUCAACUUCAGUUGGUUCUUAUAGCUGUGGCAAGGGACAAUGA
rnacentral:rRNA from 1 species